rnacentral:rRNA from 1 species
AGUCGAGGGGCAGCAUUUCAGUUUGCUUGCAAACUGGAGAUGGCGACCGGCGCACGGGUGAGUAACACGUAUCCAACCUGCCGAUAACUCGGGGAUAGCCUUUCGAAAGAAAGAUUAAUACCCGAUGGUAUAAUCAGACCGCAUGGUCUUAUUAUUAAAGAAUUUCGGUUAUCGAUGGGGAUGCGUUCCAUUAGGCAGUUGGUGAGGUAACGGCUCACCAAACCUUCGAUGGAUAGGGGUUCUGAGAGGAAGGUCCCCCACAUUGGAACUGAGACACGGUCCAAACUCCUACGGGAGGCAGCAGUGAGGAAUAUUGGUCAAUGGGCGCAGGCCUGAACCAGCCAAGUAGCGUGAAGGAUGACUGCCCUAUGGGUUGUAAACUUCUUUUAUAUGGGAAUAAAGUUUUCCACGUGUGGAAUUUUGUAUGUACCAUAUGAAUAAGGAUCGGCUAACUCCGUGCCAGCAGCCGCGGUAAUACGGAGGAUCCGAGCGUUAUCCGGAUUUAUUGGGUUUAAAGGGAGCGUAGGUGGACAGUUAAGUCAGUUGUGAAAGUUUGCGGCUCAACCGUAAAAUUGCAGUUGAUACUGGCUGUCUUGAGUACAGUAGAGGUGGGCGGAAUUCGUGGUGUAGCGGUGAAAUGCUUAGAUAUCACGAAGAACUCCGAUUGCGAAGGCAGCUCACUGGACUGCAACUGACACUGAUGCUCGAAAGUGUGGGUAUCAAACAGGAUUAGAUACCCUGGUAGUCCACACAGUAAACGAUGAAUACUCGCUGUUUGCGAUAUACAGUAAGCGGCCAAGCGAAAGCAUUAAGUAUUCCACCUGGGGAGUACGCCGGCAACGGUGAAACUCAAAGGAAUUGACGGGGGCCCGCACAAGCGGAGGAACAUGUGGUUUAAUUCGAUGAUACGCGAGGAACCUUACCCGGGCUUAAAUUGCAUUUGAAUAANUNUGGAAACAGGUUAGCCGCAAGGCAAAUGUGAAGGUGCUGCAUGGUUGUCGUCAGCUCGUGCCGUGAGGUGUCGGCUUAAGUGCCAUAACGAGCGCAACCCUUAUCUUUAGUUACUAACAGGUCAUGCUGAGGACUCUAGAGAGACUGCCGUCGUAAGAUGUGAGGAAGGUGGGGAUGACGUCAAAUCAGCACGGCCCUUACGUCCGGGGCUACACACGUGUUACAAUGGGGGGUACAGAAGGCAGCUACCUGGUGACAGGAUGCUAAUCCCAAAAGCCUCUCUCAGUUCGGAUCGAAGUCUGCAACCCGACUUCGUGAAGCUGGAUUCGCUAGUAAUCGCGCAUCAGCCAUGGCGCGGUGAAUACGUUCCCGGGCCUUGUACACACCGCCCGUCAAGCCAUGAAAGCCGGGGGUACCUGAAGUACGUAACCGCAAGGAG